rnacentral:rRNA from 1 species
CAGGUCUUGACAUCCUCUGACAACCCUAGAGAUAGGGCUUUCCCCUUCGGGGGACAGAGUGACAGGUGGUGCAUGGUUGUCGUCAGCUCGUGUCGUGAGAUGUUGGGUUAAGUCCCGCAACGAGCGCAACCCUUGAUCUUAGUUGCCAGCAUUCAGUUGGGCACUCUAAGGUGACUGCCGGUGACAAACCGGAGGAAGGUGGGGAUGACGUCAAAUCAUCAUGCCCCUUAUGGCCUGGGCUACACACGUGCUACAAUGGAUGGAACAAAGGGAAGCAAAACCGCGAGGUCAAGCAAAUCCCAUAAAACCAUUCUCAGUUCGGAUUGCAGGCUGCAACUCGCCUGCAUGAAGCUGGAAUCGCUAGUAAUCGCGGAUCAGCAUGCCGCGGUGAAUACGUUCCC